UUCUAUAACAUGGAAAUACUCAAUUUAAAGUACCUGAAAUGUACAAUACUUGAGUUAAUUUACUGAAUUACAUUUCCUCACUGGACCUCUGUCUUCAUCUGCAGGAAAGUGAGGACAUGGAGGCGCCAGCAGGAGGCGGCGGGCUGAGACGCAGGAGAACCAUCAAGAAGAAGAAACGAGUGAGUUGUUGUUGUUCACUUAAAAGAAACAUCCUUUGAGAUUUAGCUCUAUUUUAAAGUGUGUUAUAUAAAUGAAAGGUAUUAUUAUUACAUCCAGAGACGUGACAGGAAGCCGCAGGAGAACAGAAGUGUAUCUUAACAGCUGCUUCUCAGUGGUUUAACCUUUAUAUAUAGUUGGAUGUUAAAUGUUUUUUCUUUUCUUGUGUUGUUUCUCAGGUUGUGUCGUUCCGAGUCAAAACAACUCUUCCAAAAAUACCAAAGUUUAAGGCAAGUUAAAUGUAGUAGUUGUCAUGAUGGGGGACAUUAGCGAUAGAGACCAAAAGCAUUUUUAGUACCCGACUGUAAACAUGUUUAUUUGUGCUGUAAAGUUAACGUGGAGUCUCUAGAUAUUUACUCUCUUUUGAAACCAGCCUCAAGUUGACAUUCAAGGAGCGUCAGUGUUGGUUGAGACUCACUUUGCAGUUUGUAACUCUGCUCCUGUUCUUUCUCUGCAGCUUUAAACAUGUGACAGCAACAUGUUUUAGUUUGUUGAUGAUGAUUGAAAGGCUUGUCAACAACAAACCUUCUUCACAUUGUUUUUUAUUCACUUACAAACGUGUUGAGGAUGAUUAGAAGUUGUCCUGAGUAAUGUUUUGACACAAAUAAUGAAUAUUCACUUUACUUCUUUGCUGGGUUUUAAGUUGUCACAGUUUAUUACUAAGUGAAUGACGUUAACUGUUGUGUUUUCCUCCAGAGUUCAGACAAGAUGUCUGGUAUUGAGGAGGUUGUUGAGCUGCAGGAGCUGAACCCAGCACAUGACAGCACAGUGGAGGUCCAGUCUGUGGAGAUGGCAGCUUAUCCUACUGAAGGCAGUGGUCUCGCAUCUGAGCCGGUGUGUUUCUAUCAAACUUUCACACCUUCGGUUUGGUUUAUUUAGUCCUGAUUUUGUUUAGCGUUUGCUUUACUGCUUCUUAUGUGUAUAUU
rnacentral:lncRNA from 1 species